rnacentral:rRNA from 1 species
CAGGUGAUAGCCCUGUAGGCGAAAACAGUAUGAAAGAACUAGGUGUACGACAAGUAGGGCGGGACACGUGAAAUCCUGUCUGAAGAUGGGGGGACCAUCCUCCAAGGCUAAAUACUCGUGAUCGACCGAUAGUGAACCAGUACCGUGAGGGAAAGGCGAAAAGAACCCCGGGAGGGGAGUGAAAUAGAUCCUGAAACCGCAUGCAUACAAACAGUCGGAGCCUCUUUAUGGGGUGACGGCGUACCUUUUGUAUAAUGGGUCAGCGACUUACGUUCAGUAGCAAGCUUAACCGUAUAGGGCAGGCGUAGCGAAAGCGAGUCCGAAUAGGGCGUUCAGUUGCUGGGCGUAGACCCGAAACCAGGUGAUCUAUCCAUGGCCAGGAUGAAGGUGCGGUAACACGUACUGGAGGUCCGAACCCACUAACGUUGAAAAGUUAGGGGAUGAGCUGUGGAU